GAAAUUCUAACUUUUUUCUCAGAAUAUUACCCUUCAUCCCCGGUACUUUUUUCUUCCUACAAUGGCCCUAAUACGCCGUCAAGACUCUUGGGAUUAUGUGUGCUUCAUAAAAACGCAUUUUAAAGAAAUAAUCUGUCGGGUUUUUGGGGAAAUAAUCCGGCAGAUAGUUCCCAGCGCCCAGAGGAGCGGAGAGGCUCUUCAGUACCGACCCGGUGUCAGCUGUGAGGCUCAAAGCGGAGGGAUAAUAAAGUUUCUGAAAGCCUCGGCGUGUCUCAAACAGCUUUAAGUUGUUUUUAAAGUGAGGAAAGUGAGUGAGGAGUGUGAAGUGAGAGCGGCGGGCUGACGCUGGGAUCUGACCCCCGCCCUUUGGCAUGACGUUAGCCGCUGGAAGCUAACAGCUAGCGGUGAUUAGCCGAGCCGAGCCGGCCAGCUGACGGGCUGCCGGGCUCCGGUAGCAGCCCGGUCAGCCGGACAGACCGCGGACAAAGACCCGGACACGGAGCUAAUCGACCGGUGUGCUGAAACCGCCCGCCGGGAGGGGGUUACCGCCGGCAGAGGAGCUAGCAGCGGCUAACAGGGCUAACCAAGAAGUGACUGAACGGGAUAAACAAACUUACAGUUCCUGAUGUCAGAGAUGAACACGGCCAGGCCACGCAUCCCGUCUCCUUUAGACACCGCAGGCAUUUUGUCCGGAGCCGCAGACGCUGCCCUUCCUCUUCAGAGUCACAGUUUCCUCCGGCAGGACGAAGGCGAGCCAGUUCUCAGGGAGGGGACGGAAAACAGCAUUUCAGUGGUUUGGUGGUGCUGGAGACCAGGGAUCGGUCAGCCUGUCAUCGUGUGUGUCAUGUGUGUUUGUGUUUCAUUUCCUUGGGUUUUAUUCAGUUUGAACUCUGUAUUGCGUCGUUUUGUUUGUGUUUGAUUGUUGAUUAGUUAGAUCGAGGCGGGGCGGGAUGUUCGUUGUUAGGAGUUUGGGAUGUUUCGUCAUGAUUUAAAGUUGGAAUGUGCAACUUAUUUGACAUUAAAAUAUCAAUAAAUAAAUG